rnacentral:snRNA from 1 species
AUGCUCUGGUUUCUCUUCAGAUCGUAUAAAUCUUUCGCCUUUUACUAAAGAUUUCCGUGGAGAGGAACAGUUGUGAGUGUUUAACUAAUUUUUUGAAGUCUCGUUUUUUACGAGACU